UAAAUCAGUUAUCGUUUAUUUGAUAGUACCUUACUACAUGGAUACCUGUGGUAAUUCUAGAGCUAAUACAUGCUAAAAACCCCGACUUCGGAAGGGGUGUGUUUAUUAGAUAAAAAACCAAUGCCCUUCGGGGCUCCUUGGUGAUUCAUAAUAACCUCUCAGAUCGCAUAGCCUUGAGCUGGCGACGGUUCAUUCAAAUUUCUGCCCUAUCAACUUUCGAUGGUAAGGUAUUGGCUUACCAUGGUUUCUACGGGUAACGGGGAAUUAGGGUUCGAUUCCGGAGAGUUAGCCUGAGAAACGGCUAACACAUCCAAGGAAGGCAGCAGGCGCGCAAAUUACCCAAUCCUGAUACAGGGAGGUAGUGACAAUAAAUACUGAUAGGGAGCUCUUUUGGGUUUCCUAAUUGGAAUGAGUACAAUUUAAACCUCUUAACGAGGAACAAUUGGAGGGCAAGUCUGGUGCCAGCAGCCGCGGUAAUUCCAGCUCCAAUAGCGUAUAUUAAAGUUGUUGCAGUUAAAAAGCUCGUAGUUGAACCUUUGGCCUGGCUGGCAGGUCCGCCUCACCGCGUGCACUUGUCCGGCCGGGCCUUUUUUUCUGGAGAACCGCAUGCUCUUCACUGGGUGUGUUGGGGACCAGGACUUUUACUUUGAAAAAAUUAGAGUGUUCAAAGCAGGCCUUUGCUCGAAUAUUACAGCAUGGAAUAAUAGAAUAGGACGUCGGUUCUAUUUUGUUGGUUUCUAGGACCGCCGUAAUGAUUAAUAGGGACAGUCGGGGGCAUUAGUAUUCAAUGGUCAGAGGUGAAAUUCUUGGAUUCUUUGAAGACUAACUACUGCGAAAGCAUUUGCCAAGGAUGUUUUCAUUAAUCAGUGAACGAAAGUUAGGGGAUCGAAGACGAUCAGAUACCGUCGUAGUCUUAACCAUCAACUAUGCCGACUAGGGAUCG
rnacentral:rRNA from 1 species